rnacentral:rRNA from 1 species
CAAGCUACUAAGGGCAAUCGGUGGAUGCCUAGGCACCAAGAGCCGAUGAAGGACGUUGUAACCUGCGAUAAGCCCCGGGGAGCUGGUAAACGAGCUUUGAUCCGGGGAUCUCCGAAUAGGGAAACCUCGAAAGAAACCGGAGUAAUGUCCGGCGACCUCUACCUGAAUAUAUAGGGUAGUUGGAGGGAACGUGGGGAAGUGAAACAUCUCAGUACCCACAGGAAAAGAAAACAACCGUGAUUCCGUAAGUAGUGGCGAGCGAACGCGGAUGAGGCCAAACCGUACAUGUGUGAUAGCUGACAGGCGUUGCAUGUGCGGUGUUGUGGGGCCAUUGGGACCGGGCUGUCGACUGGUCACACAGUAAGAAAUGAUCUCAGAAGUCGAAGUACUUUGGGAAAGUACGGCAUAGAAGGUAAUACCCCUGUAGACGUAAUGUGAUCACUGUGCAGUGUAACCCCAAGUAGCACCCAACCCCUGAAAUUGGGUGUGAAUCUGGCGGGACCACCCGUUAAGCCUAAAUACUCCUUGGUGACCGAUAGCGGACUAGUACCGUGAGGGAAAGGUGAAAAGCACCCCGACGAGGGGAGUGAAACAGAUCCUGAAACCGGACGCCUACAAGCAGUCGGAGCCGCCUUGCGCGGUGACGGCGUACCUUUUGUAUAAUGGGUCAGCGACUUUGUCUCUCGAGCAAGCUUAAGCCGGUAGGUGUAGGCGCAGCGAAAGCGAGUCUGAAUAGGGCGACGAGUUCGAGGGAUAAGACCCGAAACCGAGUGAUCUAGCCAUGUGCAGGUUGAAGGUGCGGUAACACGCACUGGAGGACCGAACCCACGUCUGUUGAAAAAGACGGGGAUGACGUGUGGCUAGGGGUGAAAGGCCAAUCAAACUCGGAGAUAGCUGGUUCUCCGCGAAAUCUAUUUAGGUAGAGCGUCUCGUAUUACCUUCGGGGGUAGAGCACUGGAUGGGCUAGGGGGUCCCAACGACUUACCAAACCUAACCAAACUCCGAAUACCGAAGAGUAGAGCGAGGCAGACACACUGCGGGUGCUAAGGUCCGUAGUGGAGAGGGAAACAGCCCUGACCGCCAGCUAAGGUCCCUAAGUUAUCACUAAGUGGGAAACGAUGUGGGAAUGCUUAGACAACCAGGAGGUUGGCUUAGAAGCAGCCAUCCUUUAAAGAAAGCGUAACAGCUCACUGGUCAAGCGUUCCUGCGCGGAAAAUGUAACGGGGCUUAAGUGAUACACCGAAGCUGCGGACUCGAAAGAGUGGUAGCGGAGCGUUCUGUAAGUCUGUGAAGGUGGCCUGCGAGGGCUGCUGGAGAUAUCAGAAGUGAGAAUGCUGACAUGAGUAGCGAUAAAGAGGGUGAGAGGCCCUCUCGCCGAAAGUCCAAGGGUUCCUGCGCAAUGCUAAUCAGCGCAGGGUAAGCCGGCCCCUAAGGCGAGGCCGAAAGGCGUAGUCGAUGGGAACCAGGUUAAUAUUCCUGGGCCAGCGGGUAGUGACGGAUUGCGGACGUUGUGCACUCUUACUGGAUUGAGUGUGCAGCCAAGCCGUCCCUGGAAAUAGCUCCCGCAUGAGACCGUACCCCAAACCGACACAGGUGGACUGGUAGAGCAUACCAAGGCGCUUGAGAGAACUCUGUUGAAGGAACUCGGCAAAUUACUCCCGUAAGUUCGCGAGAAGGGAGCCUGGCAUUAGGCAACUGGUGUCCAGGGGCACAGACCAGGGGGUGGCGACUGUUUAUUAAAAACACAGGGCUCUGCGAAGUCGCAAGACGACGUAUAGGGUCUGACGCCUGCCCGGUGCCGGAAGGUUAAAAGGAGGGGUGAGAGCUCCGAAUUGAAGCCCCGGUAAACGGCGGCCGUAACUAUAACGGUCCUAAGGUAGCGAAAUUCCUUG